AGCCUUAUGUUCAGAAUAGAUUUCAAAUUGCAAAUUUGAAGACGGGGAAACCCUAAGGCUU
rnacentral:tRNA from 1 species